CCAGGACCCCCGUCCGCCCCGGGCAUCUGGAGGCAGCUGCUUCCUUGCAAAAUGCCCGCAUGUCAAAGUUCGUGCAUCCCGGUUGGACGCGCCCUCCCGGCCUGCUGGCUGCUGGCUCUGCAGUUUUCCAAAUGCGGACAGAGCCGCGAGCCAGGAGAAAACUCCAAAGCGCCCCCGCUGGAACCACGCGGCCCGCCGCCCCGGCUCCCACCCACCGGCAGGCACACCCCCACCGCGGCGGCCGGCAAGUUUGUGGGGCCGUCCGGGCCGGCUGAGCAGGACUCACCGCGGAGCCCCUCCAGCCGGGCUGGCGACAGCGGCAGCGGGCGCAGGGUCGCGGCUCCCGGUAUUCCGGAAGCUUCUGUGUGGAUUAUGUGUGGAUCUUCAAAGCAUCACUAAGAGGCGGGCCUCCUGUCAUCCCCACUUGGCGAGAAGGGAGACCGCCAAAUGUUGGAGACACGUGGAAGGUGGCAGGUGUUGCCUCUUGGUGUGUGCGGAUGAACCCAGCAGCGGCCAGCAAGCCCCACAGCCCGCCUCCCUCCUUCGUUCAUCAACAAGAGCCCAGGGGCCUGCCUGGCACCCACCGGGGCCACGGAGGCCGGGCCACGCACCAUCUGGGGGAACGUUCCAGCACAGGCAGGUGCACUGCCCUCACCAAACGGGGCCACCUGGCGCUUGUGGCUGCCGAGGUCUCAAAACGGGGCCAGUGCAACCGACCCCAACCUUGGAUUUGAUGUGAUUUAAUUAAUUUUGGUUUCAGUAGCCACAUCCGAGCAGCUGUGCUGGGCACGGGCGGCAGGGGUGUGGAGUCAAAUAAGCCUGUUCACGAUGCUGCGUGC